AUGAUUCUUGAAAACAGAGUGUGGGUUGUGUUUAUCAAUAAUAUGCUUCAGAUGUCAGUUCUGUUGCCAAAUGAUCUAAACUUGAUUUACACACUUCUAGAACAGAAAAGAAUAUGGCAUUUACCUUCCGUGGAUUUACUUGAACGAUUGUACAAGUAUCUCGGCUUGGUUUAUUUCCCAUCUCCAAUUAUUAAUUGUUUGCCAAGAUAUUUUUAUGGUGUUCUUACUCCUGAUUUACUGACAUGUUUGAUUUGUAGUCUCUUAGUAUAUAAUCAAGUAGUUGUAGCUAAACAAACGUAUAUCUUGCCAUGCUUUGGUGAAAGUAUUAAAGUUCGUCUCUGGUUUUACUUUCCAUGUGCUAUCCAUACCUAUGCUUUAUGUAGUUAA
rnacentral:rRNA from 1 species